rnacentral:rRNA from 1 species
UACGUAGGCAGCAAGCGUUGUUCGGAGUUACUGGGCGUAAAGGGUGCGUAGGCGGUCCUAUAAGUAUGGUGUGAAAUCUCCCGGCUUAACUGGGAGGGUGCGCUAUAGACUGUGGGACUAGAGGGUGGGAGAGGAAAGUGGAAUUCCUGGUGUAGCGGUGAAAUGCGUAGAUAUCAGGAGGAACACCGGUGGUGUAAACGGCUUUCUGGACCACUUCUGACGCUGAGGCACGAAAGCGUGGGUAGCAAACAGG